ACUCCUGCGGGAGGCAGCAGUGGGGAAUUUUGGACAAUGGGCGAAAGCCUGAUCCAGCAAUGCCGCGUGAGUGAAGAAGGCCUUCGGGUUGUAAAGCUCUUUUGUCAGGGAAGAAACGGUGAAAGCUACUAUCUUUUGCUAAUGACGGUACCUGAAGAAUAAGCACCGGCUAACUACGUGCCAGCAGCCGCGGUAAUACGUAGGGUGCAAGCGUUAAUCGGAAUUACUGGGCGUAAAGCGUGCGCAGGCGGUUUUGUAAGUCUGAUGUGAAAUCCCCGGGCUCAACCUGGGAAUUGCAUUGGAGACUGCAAGGCUAGAAUCUGGCAGAGGGGGGUAGAAUUCCACGUGUAGCAGUGAAAUGCGUAGAUAUGUGGAGGAACACCGAUGGCGAAGGCAGCCCCCUGGGUCAAGAUUGACGCUCAUGCACGAAAGCGUGGGGAGCAAACAGGAUUAGAAACCCGAGUAGUCC
rnacentral:rRNA from 1 species